rnacentral:ncRNA from 2 species
AAUAAUACGGAGAAGAAGACAAGUUUAUUGAAGUUGAUUCCUAAGAGAGCUGAUGGUUGGUGCGAAUCAGUGAAUCAUACAAUAAAUAGCACUUCAGAGUAGGUAGAUUGAAUAAUAGUAGAUCUACACGUGAUGCACGUUACGCAUAAUCCAAUGAAGGCUGUUUUUUGACAGCAAAACCAGGGUGGUACCGCGGAUAAUACAACUUUUCGCCCCUUAC